UAAGGAAUAUUGGUCAAUGGACGCAAGUCUGAACCAGCCAUGCCGCGUGGAGGAUUAAGGCCCUCUGGGUUGUAAACUCCUUUUAUCUGGGAAGAAAUGUACUUUUUCUUGAGUACUUGACGGUACCAGAGGAAUAAGCACCGGCUAACUCCGUGCCGGCAGCCGCGGUAAUACGGAGGGUGCAAGCGUUAUCCGGAUUCACUGGGUUUAAAGGGUGCGUAGGUGGGCAGGUAAGUCAGUGGUGAAAUCUCCGGGCUUAACCCGGAAACUGCCGUUGAUACUAUUUGUCUUGAAUAUUGUGGAGGUAAACGGAAUAUGUCAUGUAGCGGUGAAAUGCUUAGAUAUGACAUAGAACACCAAUUGCGAAGGCAGCUUACUACACAAUCAUUGACGCUGAGGCACGAAAGCGUGGGGAUCAAACA
rnacentral:rRNA from 1 species